UACGAAGGGGGGCUAGCGUUGCUCGGAAUCACUGGGCGUAAAGGGUGCGUAGGCGGGUCUUUAAGUCAGGGGUGAAAUCCUGGAGCUCAACUCCAGAACUGCCUUUGAUACUGAAGAUCUUGAGUCGGGAGAGGUGAGUGGAACUGCGAGUGUAGAGGUGAAAUUCGUAGAUAUUCGCAAGAACACCAGUGGCGAAGGCGGCUCACUGGCCCCGAUACUGACGCUGAGGCACGAAAGCGUGGGGAGCAAACAGG
rnacentral:rRNA from 1 species